GGCUUUUAUGCACCACGUGCCACGCACAGGAAAAAUCAACAUUAGUUCUGUUUUUCAAAUGAGAAAGCUAAAUACAGAACGACAACAUUAGUUCUGUUUUUCAAAUGAGAAAGCUGCAUGCAGAACGAGUCGUGCUUCCUGAAGCCACAGUCGUAGCCGUUUGUGGGAACCUGGAGGUUGGAUUCUGGAGGGACGUCCCUGGACCUCAGAAGCCUCACCAAUGGCUGUGCAGCAGUCAGACCCUGAGUGACUGCACAGAGCAGAGCUCUCUGCUGACAGCUGCGCAGCUUCCGUGAAUGAGAAAUGAGCCUUCACUGCCUGCAGUCACCAAGGCCUGGAGGCCUCUCUGUUGAAGAAGCAAGCAGACAGGUGGAGAAGGCUGUGGGUGGAGAAGUUGGAAGCUCAGUUCUGAGCCUUUUGAGCUCUCUAUUAGACGACCAAGUGCAGACAUCAAGCAGGAACUUGAUACAUGAGUGAGCAGUCUGCAAGUGCGUGAACUUUAUGUGAUGGAAAAUGAUAACCCUCCCCCAAAAAUACAACUCAGUAGAUAAAUUGAACUAUUUUGAGUUUAAGAAGCUCACUUUCUAAAGAGCAAGCCAUACAAUAAAAUUAAUGUGAAGAAAAACUAUGCAAAUUAACAUGAUGCCAUCAUUUGUAAUGUUAUGUGACUAAACCUUUCGAUCUCAAUGAUAGUUUGUAAUACAUUGGUUAGUUCAGAAAAGUGCUAAGGCACGGCGAAGCUGCUGAGGCAUCCCAGAAUCCUGCUCUGUACACUGUCAUAAAAAUGAUAAUAUUAAAAGCCACGAUCUUUAAAAUGAAGAUGACCCCAUGAUAUUUGGGCAUCGGAAUUCCCCAAGCUCUUACAAUUCUUUAAUUUCAACUUUGAAUGGUGUUUCAUUUUCAGCAACCACCUGCAUAAAUAAUUCAUUCUCUUUAAAGAUGCUGGGAACUAAGCAACUGGGAUAAUUGACAAUUUUGAAAGGAAGAAGAUGAAUGUGCAUGUUAUGGAAAGGUCGUGUUUCCUAUAAGGUUUUUCUCUCUGAGGAUUUGUGUGGUGCUGAAUGAAAAAAUAUUAAAUCAACUAAAAUAUUUUUCUUGAAAAUCUCGUAAAAUUACAAAAUAAAGUUUCUUUUGUGUGAAGUUAAAUAGAAAUGAAAAUUAUAAGUGGAAUAUUUAGAAUAUAUAAUGCAUCCUCUGUGUAGAUAAUUUUAAUCUAGUCCGGUCUUUUAAAGUCAACAUAGUUUUUUUGUUUCAUAUUAAUUAAAUAUAGAUGUGAUUUGUCAAAUUGAAAGUUUCAAAAUUUUUUAGAAAGAGACUGUACGCUGCUAUACAUAGUAAGUACAAGGAUGGUAAGUUAGCCUUAGGGGUGUUGGCUGUUGACUGGUGAUAUUAAAUACAACUGAUUUCCCCUUUGUCAUACUGGAGCCUUGUUCCAUUUACAAAGAGAUAACAGUGUAAGUCCAGCAAACCAGCUACUUACUUUUAAAUGAAAUUUUCAGCAUUUACUGAGGCCUCAGGUACCAGACAUGC
rnacentral:lncRNA from 10 species